UGACUGACUUCAUGGAUGACCAGGAGCUUUGAUGCUGAGGACCUUUCCAAGAGUUGUACUUUGGCGAAAUGUCUUGCCAUCUGUUUCUUCUGCCACGUGGAUGGUGUCUGAUGCUACAUCUGUACUUAUGUUUGGAGAUUUGGUAACCAAAAUUUUGCAUGCACCAUGGUGAUUUUUUACGUUGCAAUUUUGGUUUCCAAAUAUAACCAUUACACUGCUUACUGGAGAGUAUUUGGAAUGGUUCAGCUAUCUUAAAAUUGGGGAGUAUUUGGAAUAUUGAAUGGUUUAGCUAUGUGAAUAUUUGACAGCAGGAAUUCUCUAUGUUACUCGGUUCUUCUAUUCUUGUUCUUUGAAUCCGGCCAUCUGGAAACAUCACAAUUGAAUGAUUCUUAGAUGUCAUAACACGAUGAACCAAUGUUUUUGGUAACAUGCAAUCUUUUUGAUUUAGGGUGUGUUUGGAUCUAUUGCCAUUUGUUAAACUUUAGCACUAAAAGCUAAAGUUUUUUUAUGGUCUCCUUUGGUGUGAAAAUUUUUAGCCCAUAUUGUAGGCAUUGGGACACUUUUUAGCACUUCUUUUAGCACUCUUUGUUUGGAUCCCAUUGCUAAAAAAAGUGUUAAAAAGUGAAGUGUUUUUAAGCACUAGGAUCCAAACAGGGCCAUAGAAAGUAGUCUCAUCAAAGUGUGGCUGUAUAAGGAAACAGUGCAUUUCUUGUUCCUUACAGACUCGGCAAUGGCAGGCGUGAGAUCUUUGGCCAAAAGAGUUUAAAUUUUGAGCAACAUUUUUUUUGGGAAGUUGAAGUUUCUAUGUAAAUUUGAAAGUAAUUGGUUUCCCCAUUGCCAGAUCCGCCAUGUCUCGCGGAACCCGUGUGUCAGGCGAUGUGAUGGGAAAUAUACCAGAGUGGGCGCUACGGGAUGAGUUCCCUCAGGAGAUCAAUUUUCCAGAUGACUUCAAUCCUGGCAACGGCCGCAUCUUGACUCUCAACAACCGACUGCGCUUAACUUACGAGGAUAUUGGUUGGACUCAAAAUAAGAUAAAUGGAGCCUAUGAUAAACAAGAAAGAGCAACACUUCUGCAAGGACGAAGCAGUUAUGAAGCAUCAAUGGCUAUCACCCAGCGCGAGAUCAGAGACCAUGAAGACUCAAUGCCAUCACUUGCUGGGCAGCCAAAGUGUUUGAUUGCAGAAGUUAUAGCUGUGGGGGGUGAGCCCUUUGUUGCUGGUUUUGUGCGUCAGUUUCUUGACAAAGUUCCAGAUGCUGUUACCCUUCCGAAUGGCUCCCUUUCAUACCUCUGUAACAGGCCUCACUAUUUUCCUGAUGAAAUCUCGGUACCUCAAGGUCUGCCUGCAGUUAGUGUCUUUUGGGGCAAGGAUCCAGUGAGUGCACCGCAAUGUAACCGCUUCCUUCAGAUCAGGUACAGUGCAUUGGCAAGACAUGUCAACAGGAUUCGUUAUUUACGCGAUCACCGGCUUCGACUGGAAGUUGAUGCUCAGGCCACUGUUGCUGGCAACGAUCUCACAUCUAAGAUCCAGUCUUGCAGUACAAUGUUGGCUAAUGUGGUGCAGGUGAUACAUAAACGCGAGCAAUUGUAUGGAAGCCAGAUAUUCCGCAUGCCAGCUGCACUAAGAGACAAGAUACUGGAAGAUCCUUCUAUAGUCAAUCAGGCCAGCUACCAGACAUCGAUUGUCUCCUUUCUCUCUACCCUCAAGGUAUUCCACAGAAUAGCCCGAUACAUCAUGGCAGAGCAGUCUUUCUGCUAUUUGAAUCUGCAAUGGGCUAUUCGCUGUUUUGGGCGUACAACACUCUCUCCCCCGCUGACUUGUUGAGCUUUGAGAGCUUUACAUCUGUUGUCAAGCUUAUAGUGCAUUAUCCUUUUGCAACACAAGCUAUCGCCAUCCAACAGUUUCAACAUAUCAAUAAUGACACCUGUAGUGCUAUGCUGAGGCUUUUUCUAGAGUUGCACUUGCCGCAGCUGACAGAAUGGGGAUGGAACAGCUACCGCCUUGGUGUUCGCAAUAGGAGAUUUGGUCAAUCAAUUGAGACCGCAACAGGCAUUCCAUGUAGGAGGAAGAAACACUCUGUGAAGGAGCUGCGGGCUGGGAUAGAGCAAUUUUUGCACCUGUUCCUUGAGAUUGAGCAAGCCCAGCUUACGGAGGCCCAGCAAGACCUACAGAGCAAGCUCGAGGAUGACAAUCCCCAACAGUGAGUCUUGACUUCAUGGAUGACCACGAGCUCCUUCCCAAGAGAUUUACUGACUUCAUGGAUGACCAGGAGCUUUGAUGCUGAGGACCUUUCCAAGAGUUGUACUUUGGCGAAAUGUCUUGCCAUCUGUUUCUUCUGCCACGUGGAUGGUGUCUGAUGCUACAUCUGUACUUAUGUUUGGAGAUUUGGUAACCAAAAUUUUGCAUGCACCAUGGUGAUUUUUUACGUUGCAAUUUUGGUUUCCAAAUAUAACCAUUACACUGCUUACUGGAGAGUAUUUGGAAUGGUUCAGCUAUCUUAAAAUUGGGGAGUAUUUGGAAUAUUGAAUGGUUUAGCUAUGUGAAUAUUUGACAGCAGGAAUUCUCUAUGUUACUCGGUUCUUCUAUUCUUGUUCUUUGAAUCCGGCCAUCUGGAAACAUCACAAUUGAAUGAUUCUUAGAUGUCAUAACACGAUGAACCAAUGUUUUUGGUAACAUGCAAUCUUUUUGAUUUAGGGUGUGUUUGGAUCUAUUGCCAUUUGUUAAACUUUAGCACUAAAAGCUAAAGUUUUUUUAUGGUCUCCUUUGGUGUGAAAAUUUUUAGCCCAUAUUGUAGGCAUUGGGACACUUUUUAGCACUUCUUUUAGCACUCUUUGUUUGGAUCCCAUUGCUAAAAAAAGUGUUAAAAAGUGAAGUGUUUUUAAGCACUAGGAUCCAAACAGGGCCAUAGAAAGUAGUCUCAUCAAAGUGUGGCUGUAUAAGGAAACAGUGCAUUUCUUGUUCCUUACAGACUCGGCAAUGGCAGGCGUGAGAUCUUUGGCCAAAAGAGUUUAAAUUUUGAGCAACAUUUUUUUUGGGAAGUUGAAGUUUCUAUGUAAAUUUGAAAGUAAUUGGUUUCCCCAUUGCCAGAUCCGCCAUGUCUCGCGGAACCCGUGUGUCAGGCGAUGUGAUGGGAAAUAUACCAGAGUGGGCGCUACGGGAUGAGUUCCCUCAGGAGAUCAAUUUUCCAGAUGACUUCAAUCCUGGCAACGGCCGCAUCUUGACUCUCAACAACCGACUGCGCUUAACUUACGAGGAUAUUGGUUGGACUCAAAAUAAGAUAAAUGGAGCCUAUGAUAAACAAGAAAGAGCAACACUUCUGCAAGGACGAAGCAGUUAUGAAGCAUCAAUGGCUAUCACCCAGCGCGAGAUCAGAGACCAUGAAGACUCAAUGCCAUCACUUGCUGGGCAGCCAAAGUGUUUGAUUGCAGAAGUUAUAGCUGUGGGGGGUGAGCCCUUUGUUGCUGGUUUUGUGCGUCAGUUUCUUGACAAAGUUCCAGAUGCUGUUACCCUUCCGAAUGGCUCCCUUUCAUACCUCUGUAACAGGCCUCACUAUUUUCCUGAUGAAAUCUCGGUACCUCAAGGUCUGCCUGCAGUUAGUGUCUUUUGGGGCAAGGAUCCAGUGAGUGCACCGCAAUGUAACCGCUUCCUUCAGAUCAGGUACAGUGCAUUGGCAAGACAUGUCAACAGGAUUCGUUAUUUACGCGAUCACCGGCUUCGACUGGAAGUUGAUGCUCAGGCCACUGUUGCUGGCAACGAUCUCACAUCUAAGAUCCAGUCUUGCAGUACAAUGUUGGCUAAUGUGGUGCAGGUGAUACAUAAACGCGAGCAAUUGUAUGGAAGCCAGAUAUUCCGCAUGCCAGCUGCACUAAGAGACAAGAUACUGGAAGAUCCUUCUAUAGUCAAUCAGCGCCAGCUACCAGACAUCGAUUGUCUCCUUUCUCUCUACCCUCAAGGUAUUCCACAGAAUAGCCCGAUACAUCAUGGCAGAGCAGUCUUUCUGCUAUUUGAAUCUGCAAUGGGCUAUUCGCUGUUUUGGGCGUACAACACUCUCUCCCCCGCUGACUUGUUGAGCUUUGAGAGCUUUACAUCUGUUGUCAAGCUUAUAGUGCAUUAUCCUUUUGCAACACAAGCUAUCGCCAUCCAACAGUUUCAACAUAUCAAUAAUGCUGACAGAAUGGGGAUGGAACAGCUACCGCCUUGGUGUUCGCAAUAGGAGAUUUGGUCAAUCAAUUGAGACCGCAACAGGCAUUCCAUGUAGGAGGAAGAAACACUCUGUGAAGGAGCUGCGGGCUGGGAUAGAGCAAUUUUUGCACCUGUUCCUUGAGAUUGAGCAAGCCCAGCUUACGGAGGCCCAGCAAGACCUACAGAGCAAGCUCGAGGAUGACAAUCCCCAACAGUGAGUCUUGACUUCAUGGAUGACCACGAGCUCCUUCCCAAGAGAUUUACUGACUUCAUGGAUGACCAGGAGCUUUGAUGCUGAGGACCUUUCCAAGAGUUGUACUUUGGCGAAAUGUCUUGCCAUCUGUUUCUUCUGCCACGUGGAUGGUGUCUGAUGCUACAUCUGUACUUAUGUUUGGAGAUUUGGUAACCAAAAUUUUGCAUGCACCAUGGUGAUUUUUUACGUUGCAAUUUUGGUUUCCAAAUAUAACCAUUACACUGCUUACUGGAGAGUAUUUGGAAUGGUUCAGCUAUCUUAAAAUUGGGGAGUAUUUGGAAUAUUGAAUGGUUUAGCUAUGUGAAUAUUUGACAGCAGGAAUUCUCUAUGUUACUCGGUUCUUCUA